rnacentral:rRNA from 1 species
GAAUAUUGGACAAUGGGGGCAACCCUGAUCCAGCGACGCCGCGUGGGUGAAGAAGGCCUGCGGGUUGUAAAGCCCUUUCGGUGGGGAAGAAAAGCCUCGACCUAAUACGUCGGGGUCUUGACGUAACCCACAAAAGAAGCACCGGCUAACUCUGUGCCAGCAGCCGCGGUAAUACAGAGGGUGCGAGCGUUAAUCGGAAUUACUGGGCGUAAAGCGUACGCAGGCGGCUUUGCAAGACAGGUGUGAAAUCCCCGGGCCUAACCUGGGAACUGCAUUUGUGACUGCAUGGCUAGAGUCUGUCAGAGGGGGGUGGAAUUCCACGUGUAGCAGUGAAAUGCGUAGAGAUGUGGAAGAACACCGAUGGCGAAGGCAGCCCCCUGGGAUAAGACUGACGCUCAUGUACGAAAGCGUGGGGAGCAAACAGG